UUGGUUAAACGGAGCUUUUUACGCCGCCGGCCGCCGGAUUUGUUAUCUUCUUCGUUGACAUGUGGUGUUGCACCGAUCAUGAUCCACUCACGAUCUUCCUCCAUCUUUGGAGUUUGGUUUAUGUCUAAAUCUCUCACCAUAUGAAGGAGAUGGAGAGAAGCUUGGAAUUGAUAUUGUUAAUUCUAAAGAGCUUGAAUUAGGUGAGACUGCCAUAGAGGAAAAAGGAAUCAACAGAAUUUGACGAAGAAGAUAGUUUUUUUUUGGGAGAAAACUGAAAAGGUAAAGUUGAAGUUAUAUGUGAUUAUAGAAAUGUGAGUGUGCAUAUGUAUAUACUAUAUACACUGUGUACACAUGUGAAAGUACAAAAGGAAAAAAAUAGCCAGACAAUGGAGAAAGAUUUUGUGAUAAGCGUGGAAUAUGGAAUAAGGAAUUAAACCUGAUGGAAAUAUCAACAACUAUCAAGAAAAAUAGUCUUCAAAAUACGACAAAAGAUAAAAGUUUCAAGCAGGUCAAAUGAAGGAACAAAAAUUAAGGGAGGAAUAAAUGGCAGUGUAAGUUGAGCGAAUAAAAAAAGGAAGAAUAAUAGAAUUAAAUGAAGAGGUGUGUAUACGUGUGAUUGGUGUGCCUUUGGAGAGAAAGAAGGGGUUUGACUAGUGUCGUUAAGUCAAAUCAUAUUCGUAUGAAAUAAGAUCAAUUAUUACGUGUUUUAUCAGUUUUUCGGAGUUAUUAAAUUCAUUAUGGCCUUGUGUAGGACAAUAACGGGUAGCCAAAUUGUUGUUAUUCGUUGAGCGUUACAUAUGACAUCAUCUUUUUU